ACGAAGGUGGCGAGCGUUGUUCGGAAUCACUGGGCUUAAAGCGCACGUAGGCGGCUCAUCAAGUGCUUUGUGAAAUCCCUCGGCUCAACCGGGGAAUUGCUUGGCAAACGGAUGGGCUUGAGGCAGGUAGGGGCAUGUGGAACUCUUGGUGGAGCGGUGGAAUGCGUAGAUAUCAAGAGGAACGCCGGAGGCGAAAGCGAUGUGCUGGGCCUGUCCUGACGCUGAGGUGCGAAAGCCAGGGGAGCAAACGG
rnacentral:rRNA from 1 species